rnacentral:rRNA from 1 species
GACGAACGCUGGCGGCGUGCCUAAUACAUGCAAGUCGAACGAGAGCGACCGGUGCUUGCACUGGUCAAUCUAGUGGCGAACGGGUGAGUAACACGUGGGUAACCUGCCCAUCAGAGGGGGAUAACAUUCGGAAACGGAUGCUAAAACCGCAUAGGUCUUCGAACCGCAUGGUUUGAAGAGGAAAAGAGGCGCAAGCUUCUGCUGAUGGAUGGACCCGCGGUGCAUUAGCUAGUUGGUGAGGUAACGGCUCACCAAGGCCGUGAUGCAUAGCCGACCUGAGAGGGUGAUCGGCCACAUUGGGACUGAGACACGGCCCAAACUCCUACGGGAGGCAGCAGUAGGGAAUCUUCCGCAAUGGACGCAAGUCUGACGGAGCAACGCCGCGUGAGUGAAGAAGGUUUUCGGAUCGUAAAACUCUGUUGUUAGAGAAGAACAAGUGCUAGAGUAACUGUUAGCGCCUUGACGGUAUCUAACUAGAAAGCCACGGCUAACUACGUG